rnacentral:lncRNA from 1 species
CAGUUGUCUGCUGCUGGUGGGAUGUGCGGCGGGUUAGGCUUUGGUUUGGGCUCCGGCUUGGGUUCAGGCUUUGGUUUUGGUUCAGGCUUAGGCUCCGGUUUGGGUUCUGGUUUCGGCUUGGGCUCGGGCUUUGGUUCAGGUUUAGGCUUAGGCUCAGGCUUAGGUAGUGGUUCGGGUUUUGGUUCCGGCUUCGGCUCAGGCUUAGGCUCGGGUUUUGGUUUGGGCUCGGGCUUAGGCUCUGGUUUGGGUAGUGGUUCUGGUUUUGGUUCUGGCUUGGGCUCGGGCUUAGGCUCUGGUUUGGGCAGUGGCUCUGGCUUUGGCUCUGGUUUUGGCAAUGGUUUGGGCUUUGGUUCCGGCUUGGGCUCAGGCUUAGGCUCUGGUUUUGGUAGUGGUUCAGGUUUUGGUUCCGGCUUGGGUUCAGGCUUAGGCUCGGGCUUUGGUUCCGGCUUGGGCUCAUGCUUAGGUUGCAGUGGUUCGGGUAUGGGUUCUGUGCUUGGGUUCAGGCUUAGUGCUCGGUGCUUUGGGUAUCGUGCUUGGGCUCAGGCUUAGGCUCCGGUAUCGGCAUCGGUUCGGGCUUUGGUUCUGGCUAGGGCUCAGGCUUAGGCUCAGGUUUUGGUUUUGGCAUGGGCUCAGGUUUUGGUUCAGGCUUAGGCUCCGGCUUAGGCUCAGGCUUAGGUUUUGGUUCUGGCUUGGGCUCCGGUUUUGGCAGUGGUUCAGGCUUGGGCUCAGGCUCGGGUUUUGGUUCAGGCUUAGGCUCAGGUUUUGGCUUUGGCUCAGGCUUUUUUGGCUUUGGCUUUGGUUCAGGCAUAGGCUUGGGCAUCGGUUCGGGUUUGGGCUUUGGCUCUGGCUUCGUUAUGGGUUUAGGUUGAGGCUCAGGUUUAGGUUCAGGUUUCGGCGAAGGCUCUGGAUGAGGCUCAGUUUUUGGCUCUGGACGUGGCUUGGGCUCUG